UUCAAAUUUUGCAUUGCUCGCGAAAAUGAAACCUGUUUCCAGGCCCGUCGGUCUACCACUGACCUCUAAAGGUAUUUAAAAAGCGUUUAAGCACAGCUUACUUGUUGAAAGUAAUUUAUUUUGCGUCUGGCGAAUAAAGUCAGUUCAAGUUCAGCAGCAGUAGCCACUGCAUCAGAAGCCAACAACCCGAUCAUAUGAUAGCGGUUUGCCACCUAUGUAAAUACAGAUGUAUUAACUUGUACUAAGUAUACCGUUUAUCUGAGUCGAGCCAGACACGUAUGGAAACACGACGGAAGACAGACAAACAACAUACGAAAUUUAAAGCAACUGACUGACAUUGCAGCGACGAAAUCAGGCUGGAUAAAUAACAGCAGUGCUAUAGCUACAGCUCUAGCCCUUGUGUGUAGAGCAUUCAUAUUGAGGAUUGUAUUUCUUAUUCAGACAAAUGUUUGCUUAAAGCCGACUUCGUCAAUGGCGUCGUAUAAGCCAAAACACCUGUGCACGUCACGUCGUAUAUAACAUCUCAGUUAUAUGAAUGUAAGGUUUUGUGUGUGGAUCGAGAAAAACGAAGUAUUCGUGGUUAACAUCUGCCUUUAUCUAUCAUAUAAGGAGUGCAUUCAAUGAUGGCCUAUAUAGUAUGAUAGACAAACGGUGUAGUGAGUAGAAACCGAAUAGGAUCAAUUCCCAAUCCUGGGGACAAAGAUGUUUUUGGCGGUACAUACAUAUUAUGAUACAAAGUCAGUUCUGUUUUUUUUUUACAUGCAUCUAAUGAGUUUUUGAUCACAAAGCCAAACUUGACGUUUUCGCAUUAAAAUUGGCAGCCAUUUAGACGUUAUUGGGCUUUCUUUCCAAGAAUGAAUGCCCUGCCGUGAAAAUCAGCUAAAACCUACUUAAAAGAGGCAGACACUAACUGUCAGAGGCAUCAGAAAAUCCCAUAUUCACGCCAAAAGUCAGCCAAAGGUUAUCAUCAUAGGCGGCUUUUGGCUGCCGGUCGGUCCACUGGGAAGCGUUCCGUGUGUGGGAAGUCUGAGCUUAUCAACAUACAGACAUAUUUACAUUCAGACGUGCAUAUAAAGAUCCAUAAAUUUAUAGAUGAGAUUUAUAUGUAUGUACAUAUGUCUAUACGACUAAAUGGUGUACGAGUAUUGUAGUAAAAUGACGCGCCAUUUUUAUGAAUGAAACACAACAAAAUAUUAAAUGGUGCAUUGCGAUCGCUUAAUUAACCAGAGACUAUGGUUCACAGCCUUUUACUUGCAUUAUUGACCAAUGUGUGGCUCUCAUUUUGGUCCUAACUGAUUCAGACAUUAUCAGGAAUGUUAGAUUAUGAAAACAUAAUACAAAAAAAAAUCAAUUCGAGCUCCCAGAUGACAACUAUUGAAAUGCCAUGUUCGGUAAAUAAAUAUACUUGGCGCCAAUGACAAGCUUCGAAGGCCCUAAGAGAAAAUACCGACACUACAUUAAAAUAUUAUUUAAUUUUAAAAGAAGCAAAGUUUUGGAACACAUACAAACUUUCGGAAACGACGAACAAACAUAUUUUCUAGAUUCAUACUGAAUCUUAAACUUUUGAGUUUAAUUCUGAGUGAAUCUGUGGAGACGUUCUCGAGGCCAACUGUGCUCAAACCCAGUCACACACAAAUUGCCAAUAUGUCUGGCGACGUCGUCGUCCUCAAUUCACUAGAGCGGGCAAAGUGCCUGUUUGACAUAUGCGUCACAGAACCCAGGCAGACAUACGGCGGCGACAAAUAGUUGGCGUUGUUUACGUAUCUGUCUGUAUCUCAAUUGCUUGCCACCCUCAAAGGACUGUUUCCCUUUUAUGAUUACGCUGCUGGUGCUGGAUGGCCCAGCACAUCCCCCAUAAAGUAUACUAUCUGUCAUCAGCAUGGCAUAUUCGGUUCUUCAUUUAGAGCUUUUGCACAGCUGGUUUUUCUAACUACUUUGCUUUUCGAACCUCUUUAUCUGGUAACGUUUCUAUUACAGAGAUUUCACUUCAAUUCUGGAUAACAAAUUGGCAGUAGAGUUGCUGACUCAGCAUCGGAUUAAUAAUAUCCAUUGCUGUAAUGUACUCUGCAACCGCCUCUAGAUAUUUAUGUGACUUAUUCAACACGCAAAAUAUAAUCUAAAAACAUAACUUCCAGGUGCGGGACAUACAUACAUACAUAUGAACAUAUGUACUUAGUAUGUAUGCACUUAUAUAGGGGAAUAUUAAAAUGCAUGUUUAAAUUGUACAGUUAGCCGGCAACAGGUGGCUAAAGCCCUUAAUAACAUUUCGUGCGCUCUUACCUUUCAU